UUAGCUUCAUCUCUGCACGAUACAUGCGUCCUUUUAAUGUGACAAUACAACAUGCCGAAUCACAUGGACAAAUUACAAGACAUUGUACAGCCUUCAUUUUUACACAUUUCGGCCAUGAGGAAAAGCUAAGCUUCGGUAACUAGAUAGGUUUCGAAGCCAUCCAGCAUAAAUUACAAAGCAUUUAUGCUUUCUGAGUUAACUUUGACAGGGAUACAGCGAGGCUUAUUUAAUCUAGACGAGCCCAUUCCAGUUCUAACUCCAUCUCACCUGAUUCUACGUUCUGCAGCUUUAGGUAAACUUCCUGUUUUACCUUUCCCGACGAAAUAUUGACAAUGCUGUCGCUCAACAGGCAAUUGUCUCUGGUCAUGAACCACCUUCCAAUUUGCAUGUCCGCGUGACGCGACGGGUCUCCAAAG
rnacentral:lncRNA from 1 species